CCAUACAAUUUGAUGAUAGAGCAACUUCUACUUUUGAAUAUCCAUCUGAAAAUGCAAGUCCCUCACCUCUGGAUGAAAAUGGAAGUUGGAAUGACACAACAAAAUCAGGAAUUGAACUUGGAUCUGCUGCAAACUCAAGGUUGGGACUUUCCAGUUAUAAGCCUCUGGUGCUUAGUAGCAAUAAAGAAUUUGAGCUUGGUGUUUCUCAGCCCAAUCACAGGCCUGCAUCUGUUGCUGAAAAAUCUGAGAUUGUUGAUGUUCCUACUCUGGAUGUAAUAAUACCAGCUAAUCCUGAUGACACAGGUGUUUGGUCUGCAAGUGAAACUGCAGAUAUCCUGUUCUAAUUGUUUGUUCGUUCAUUUGGUUAUCAAGUUUCCAUUCAAGUGCUUUGUAUAACCUUCUCAUUGACAGUGGAUUAGUGUUAGUAUUGAAGUAAAUAUUGUUAAAAAUGCAAAAUCAUGUUUUAGUGACUGUUGAUCAGCUAGCUCUUGCAGUUCUUCUUGUAAAGCUAUAUUUUGUGUUUCUGCUUUGUAAACUUUUUAACAUUUUGUGCAAACAGUUCAUUUGAACAGUUAUAUUUGUUCAUUAAAGUGUUCAGAAUACAUUAGUGUAAUUGAAUAUGAAACAUUUAAAAUUUUUUAUUUAUCUUAACAUCUCAGAUGCUAAGAUUUGUUUUAAAAUUGCAGUAGGUAUUGUAUUAUAAUAUAGUGUUACAGUAAGAGAGAACAUUCCUAAAAACGGAAAGUAACACAUUUUGUUUUUGCCCUUUAAACAGUUCUUACAUUAUUAUGUUAGAAAUUCUGUAAUACAUGUUCAGAAGCUUGUUAUUUCUGACAAAAAAUUAUUGAAUGCUGUGCAGAUCCUUGCAUUUAAUUUUGUGUUACAAGAAUUAUCUUGUAGCUUUUAAUGUAGUGUCCUUUCAAAGUGCAAAAUAUAAUACAUUUUAAACACUUAAGUGUGAUUUUAUAUCCUAGAUUAAAGUAAUUUGGGGUUUACUAAGUUUAAUUUGUCACCUUAAUUUUAUAUUUCAUAGCAUACUUUAGUUCUAAAAAUAAUAAUUUUGAUGAAAAUUAGCUGAAUUUUAAAUACUGAGUGAAAUGUUAACUUUUAAUAAUGAAAACAAACAUUCCAGUAAAAAAGUAAAUUUUGGAGGAAAAUGUAAAAUGAAUUAUAUAAUAGAGCUAAAGUAAUUUCCUGUUAGUCACCCUGAGGUAAAUAAAUAUGUUAAAAAUAUAAUAUUUUAAGCAUUUAGGAGCUUUUUUUUUUAGUGUAUUAACUACUGAAAAUAUUUGUAAUUGUUUAUAAUAGUUAUAAUACAAAACUGCCCUUUUAAAAUUUUUUAGGGAGGGGAUAAUCUUAACUUACUUAUGCAGAAAAGUUAAUGGGAAAUAUGCUUAGAAUAUGGAUUAAAUUCCUACUGUAAUAUUAUGAUUUUAGGGUUUUCAUGGUUAUAUACAAGAAGCUUUACAAAAUGGAACUGCAUUAUAUAAUAAUUGAUGAGCUUCUAUUAUAACUUACUUUUAUAUGAAAUGAAAAAGGAACAACUUUUGUUGAUAUUUGUUAUUCUGAUUUAUUUUAUAACCAUAUAGUCAUUUCAGUAUAUAAAAUACAGUUACAUUAGUAGAGUGAAGUUUUUCAGAAAUAUAGCACACAUAUUUUUUAUAUUUUAGUCUGUGGUUUCUUCCCAUAUUCAUUGACAUUAUAAGUAAAUGUAUGAAGUAUUGUAAACUGGUUAACCAUACCAUUUUCUUUGCAUGUGAAAGAAAGCAACGUUUUUCAUUGGCAUUAAGGUGUCCUUGUGAUGUGCUUUGUCUCCUGGUGGCCUUUCUGUUAUAAUGUAACUUUAAUUACUCCCUUUACUUUUGCAUCUAGUUUUUCAUCUGUAUUAAAAAUAUGAUGAAACUAUCUGUAUUUAACAUUUAUAAUAAGUGUAAUUCUUCAAUUCACUUAUUUAUUAAACUUCGAAAUCAUCUUUUUCUCAUCAUAAACUGUGAUCUAUCUCAGUGUUCUAAUUUGCUGUUUACAAAAUACUGCAUUUUUUAUGUAUGUACAUUUCCCGAAACAGAAAUUUGUUUUUCUAAUGCAUUGACAUCUCUUAUGAAACUUACUAUGUUCUAGAAAAUGUCUGAGAUGUUUAAAAUAUUUAUAUUAAUUCUUAAGAAGUAAUUACUUAUGAUUUACAUGAUAUGGCUGUCGUAUCCACUUUGGUAGGUUGUUGGUUAUUAUGUGCAUAAUAGCAGUAUAUUUUUUGAGGAAUGAGAGUUGUUUUAAAAAUGCCCCAUGCUGCAUUGGAAAUUAAUGAAAUCCCCAUUAUACAACAAUGUAAAAUGGAUUGUUUCUCGAUAUCCCCCCCCCAUAUUUUUUUAAAGUGAAGCAUUAUUGGCUUCUAAGUGCUGGUUUUGCCUGUUCUUAGAUAGACAUUUUAUUUGAAUAUUGAAUUAGUUUACUAUUGAUUAUUUUAUUUAUUUUGUAGCAUUUAAAUAUAAUUUUAUCAGUUUGUUUCUUUUAAAUUUCUACAAUAUUGGUAUUUUUUAUUUUAUGUUUUGUUGGUAUAAAUAUUGUGUUAUAAUCAGUAGUAUGUUGAGAUGUCCUGCAUUUAAAUGCUUCCUUUAAUAUUAUUAAAUUAACUGUAAAAUGUGAAUCAUUUGUACAGCAAUCUUCAUUGAAUUUAUUUUCAUCUGUAACCUGUUUGAAUAAUCAUAAAGCUUUCAUACAUUGAGCAUUUUUUUCUAACUUGGUAAACUGUAAAUAUGGUCUCAAGAUGCAAAUAUCUCUUCAAACCAUAUCAGUUCUUGCUUAACAUAAAGCCUUUUGCUGAAGCAGUAUUUUAUGAAAUCAUUUUUAGAACAUGAUGAUACUUUUCUUUUUAUACGUUAUAUUUUUUUGAAUGAUGUAUUUCCAUUUGUGAUUCAAAAUGGAAAAUUUUCAGUUACUUAUUUUGUGUUGUAAGUUCUGUAUUUUAAAUUCACGUUAAAAGUAUUAUAUGCUUAAAGAUCCUGCAACUUGAAUUAUUAAUAACAAGUAAACACAUUGUUCUUUCUACAUUUAACAAAUGAAUAGGAAUAUUUAUGAAUUUUGGGAAAUGUUGUGGUUUUUGAAUUUUGACAAUUUAAAUAAAAUUAAUGCAUUUUGUAAAUGUACAUCUAUUAUAGAAAUUGGAUUGAUGCAUUUUUUAUUAAAUUGUUAAUUUGCAUGCAGACUGAGAAGAAAUAAUAAGGGUUUAAGGAUUCUUAUUAAAAAUUGUACCAACAAUUCUGAUAAGUUCUGAGAUAUAUUUUGUGUUUGCUUAUUAUUUUAGAUUUUAAUUAUUUUUGUCAAAUUUUGUUGGAAAACUUUAUGUAUGGUUUAUAAAUGUCAUGAAAGUAUGUAUUAUUUGACUAUUUAUUGGUAAUGUGAAAGAUAAUUAUAAAUUUACACAAAACAAUUAACGAAUCGAGUAUACUUGCAUAUUCUCCAUGUUUGAACAUUUUAAUCUUAUAAAAUUAAUACAGUACAAUGUCUGUAAUCCAGACUCGUCGGGACUUUGGAGAUUCCAGAUUAGGGGUUUUUCCGGAUUCUAGAUCUUCAGUUUAAAUCUGGUAAGAAUGGCAUGCAGA